AAAUGGAAGCUGCGUGUCUUCGCCCGCUCCCGGUUCAUGGUGGAAUCCAUUGAAUGCGUUGGUAAAACACGGGAUUACGGCCGAAAAGCGGAGGUUUCUGCUAGGCAAAGGAGCUCACAAAAUAUCCUAACUCUCUAUGGGCAAGAAGCAAGGGCGCAGCUGCUGCGCGAAAGCCGGUCUUACCUUCUAUUAUAUUAGUAAAGGGCCUUUAGGCUUGACUAAUAAGAUAUAUAGGGCUUUUCCCUUUACUAGUAAGAGGCAAAGAUCAUCAGCUUUUAGUCAUCUAUCUCGCUACCUACUCCUUUUGCAAAAAGGCUUUGGGGAUAAGAUCAGACUCGAGAAAUAGUCUACUUCAAGGCUGCAGGGAGGACUACGCUCUGCAGGUGGGCAUCACUAUUUAUCAUGUCAAGACGGAAUUCCGAUUUGUUUUUGAAGGUGAUAAAAAAGAUUCGACGAAAACCGGGCAUACAUUCGAGAGAGAGAAGGGUUAGUUCAUGUCUGGGUCAAGGGGACGGGUGACCUGAACCCUCUUCCUCCGGUAAGAGCUAUCUAACCUCUGUUGUCUUGCUAUAACCUAGUCUUACUCGCUCUUACCUCCCUGCCUGUUUUCGUUUCUUUCUUUUUUGAGAAUACCUGCCCUGCUACCUCUGCUCUCGUUCGGGCCCCGGGAAUCCCUUGCUUUUGGCUAAGUUCUUUAUUUACCUUUUUUC
rnacentral:lncRNA from 1 species